AUUGAACGCUGGCGGCAUGCCUUACACAUGCAAGUCGAACGGCAGCACAGGAGCAAUCCUGGUGGCGAGUGGCGAACGGGUGAGUAAAGUAUCGGAACGUGCCUAGUCGUGGGGGAUAACGUAGCGAAAGUUACGCUAAUACCGCAUACGAUCUAUGGAUGAAAGCGGGGGAUCGCAAGACCUCGCGCGAUUGGAGCGGCCGAUAUCAGAUUAGGUAGUUGGUGGGGUAAAGGCUCACCAAGCCGACGAUCUGUAGCUGGUCUGAGAGGACGACCAGCCGCACUGGGACUGGGACACGGCCCAGACGCCGUCGGGAGGGAGCAGUGGGGAAUUUUGGACAAUGGGCGAAAGCCUGAUCCAGCCAUGCCGCGUGCAGGAUGAAGGCCUUCGGGUUGUAAACUGCUUUUGUACGGAACGAAAAGGUUUGGGCUAAUAAGCUGAGCUCAUGACGGUACCGUAAGGAUAAGCACCGGCUAACUACGUGCCAGCCGCCGCCGUAA
rnacentral:rRNA from 1 species